rnacentral:rRNA from 1 species
GACGAACGCUGGCGGCGUGCUUAACACAUGCAAGUCGAACGGAAAGGCCCUGCUUUCGUGGGGUGCUCGAGUGGCGAACGGGUGAGUAACACGUGAGUAACCUGCCCUUGACUUUGGGAUAACUUCAGGAAACUGGGGCUAAUACCGGAUAGGAGCUCCUGCUGCAUGGUGGGGGUUGGAAAGUUUCGGCGGUUGGGGAUGGACUCGCGGCUUAUCAGCUUGUUGGUGGGGUAGUGGCUUACCAAGGCUUUGACGGGUAGCCGGCCUGGGAGGGUGACCGGCCACAUUGGGACUGAGGUACGGCCCAGACUCCUACGGGAGGCAGCAGUGGGGAAUAUUGCACAAUGGGCGGAAGCCUGAUGCAGCAACGCCGCGGGCGGGAUGACGGCCUUCGGGUUGUAAACCGCUUUCGCCUGUGACGAAGCGUGAGUGACGGUAAUGGGUAAAGAAGCACCGGCUAACUACGUG